UUUCUCCAAAACAAUCCAAACAACACAUCAACAUCCGGAUUCAUAUCCAGGUAUUGCACGGUGAGCAAUUGCUUUAAUCCUAGCCAUUCAAUUGAUCUAAUGCUCAAGAAUUGGACAGCUCAAUCAAACACGUCAGCGAUCCGUGUGAGCCCUCAUUUUUCUAUGCUCUUUCAAUUUCUCCUCUCUCUCUCUUCUUCAUGCUUACCCCUAUUCAAAAAUUUCAGAAACUCUCUCUGACUCUCUCUUGCAAAUCCAGAUUAACAAACAUGUCCCACAUACAAAUCGACGGACAAUCAUGGUCUUCGUUGCUCUUCGGGCUUUGGUUUCAGAGAGAGAGAGAGAGAGGGGGGGGGGGGGGGGGCGAAGGAUGAUAGAGGGGAUAGAGGUUUUGGUAUUUGUUUUGGAGGGUCUUGUGAUGAUUGAUAUCGUAUAGGUUUGUGUUGUGUUGGAUCAAAGCCCAGCUUCAUGUCUUAACAAAGUGAACUAGAACGAGAUGAUAAAAAUGGGUGACGAAGUCUCCAAACUAGCUACCAUGGGCACACAGAAUCAUGGACAGCCAAGUACACUCACUUGCCUUUUCUAGACUCCAUUUGUUUUAGCUCUGUUUUAUAUGAAAAUGGGCUUAUGUAGAUUACUUUUUAUGAUGUAAACUGUUUUGUAUUGAGAGAAACAGAACCUUAAGAGAACUGUUGGGUUAAUUUGGUAUUGGAAGAUGCAUUGUACAAGCUGAGUUCCAUACUAAAUAUUUGAUGCAUACACAAUGGCAAAUUGUUGGGUUUAGUGUAUUAUAUUUUAAAAAACUGGAUUUGCGUUGGUGUAUAUGUUUCUCAUUUUCUUUCUUCCUAACUGUUAAGAAGUGACUUCUGCAAAUUUUGGAUUUCCA